rfam:Dipodomys ordii contig_5777, whole genome shotgun sequence.
GGGAAUGUAGCUCAGUGGUAGAGUGCUUGCCUUGCAUGCAUGAGGCCCUGGGUUCGAUUCCUCAGCACCA